GAGAGAGAGAGAGAGAGAGAGAGAGAGAGAGAGAGAGAGAGAUUCUCUUUACCCACCACAGUGAAGAGAUUCUCUGUCAAUCAAUGUUCUUAGUUUCUCAGUCUCACUCCCCCUACUGUAUGAAGUCCCAAAACUGCCUUGAAUGUCCAAAAACUCUCAUCCGACUGCAAUAAAGGUCGUGGGUGAAGGCAAACUCGGUCCAACCUCGAAUGAAUGUACAGUGAUCCACAAUAUUUCAGUGCCAAAGGAGAAAAAUGGCCUAUAUGAGAAACCGCCAAUGGAAUGGCGAUUGAAUUGUAAGAACAUAAUUCAAAUCGUUGCGGUUGAAUUAUAUAGGGUUCAAUCUCUUUGAUUCUUCCAUUUAGGGUUUCUCUCAUUUGUUGCGGUUGCAGCCUUGCAGGGCUCUGCUGAAGUGAAGUAGUAAAGAUUAGGAGUAUCAAGAAAAAUUUGAAAGGAUAUUGUCUAAGGUGGGUUGACUUCCACCAAAUAGGUAGAUCAACUGCAUUGUUAGCGGGCUUCAAGGCACUAGUAAGGCUGAUGUUAUGGCAACACAGCUAGCAACUAUCGCUAACGCCAUUAGGUUAGCAUAAAUGUUUGAGGCUAAGGACAUGUCACAAAAGCUUACUAAUGAACCAAAUGAGAAGCCAAGCGGGGUUACCUCCUUGCCUAUUGAAUGCUGAUGACCAGGGAAAUGCAAGACAGGAGCCAAGGACCUUUGUUACAAUUGUAGCAGAUUGGUUCUGUACGGGAGUAUCAAGAAAACACGGGGACUACAAUAGCAAGAAUUGGAUGUGAAGCGCUAGUCAUUUCUUCCAUAAAUUCCUGAAUCAAGUGAAUCCUUUCUUCUAAAAGCAUCCUCUUUGACACUUUUGGACCCUCCAGGAGUGUCAGCGGGCUGGUUCGGCUCAGUUUCGGUUUGGUUCUAUCGGUUGUGUUUUACACUAAUCGAAACCGAACCAAUAAGGAUUUUUCGGUUUCAAUGUGGUUUGGGUUUGGUUCGGUACCAGUUUGAGUUAUUCGAUUCGAUGCGAUUGGUUCGGUUUUUUAACAUGAUAUGGAACUGGUAUGAGCCCCAUUAUAAACCGACCCAAGAUGACAAGAACCCCAUUCAUGAUGGCAAACCGCCAAACCCUAAAAGUUAAAACAUAUUCAAGAGAAAUCUUGUUUCUCCAGCCACUGCUGCGGUUAACUACCACCAUCACCUCAGUUGUAUCCACCACCACUGCCACCCUCACGGCAUCCAUAGCCACCAGGCCCACCACCACCACCACCACCAUGGUCCACGGCUUUCUCCAUCAACACCGUCACAGCAUCCAUAGCCACCACCACAACCACCACCAUAGCUGCCACCAUCUCCGCUGCAGUAACCACCGCCUCCACCACCACAACCUCUGGUUUGAGCCUCACAACACCUCAGACGAAAAGGAGAAACAGAACUCAAAAGAGCUCGAAUCACCUCCGCCGUCGCUGUUGACUGGUUCUUGGAUCAAAACCCUCACUCAAAACUUUGCAAAACCUAGAAGGAAAAGAAAAAGAAAAACAAAGAAUAGAAGACUUUUGAGAGCUGGAGAGUGAAGGAGA